UUGACCUCGGAUCAGGUAGGGAUACCCGCUGAACUUAAGCAUAUCAAUAAGCGGAGGAAAAGAAACCAACCGGGAUUGCCUCAGUAACGGCGAGUGAAGCGGCAAGAGCUCAAAUUUGAAAUCUGGCCCCUCCGGGUCCGAGUUGUAAUUUGUAGAGGAUGCUUCGGGUGCGGCCCCCGUCUAAGUGCCCUGGAACGGGCCAUCGGAGAGGGUGAGAAUCCCGUCUGGGACGGGGUGUCCGCGUCCAUGUGAAGCUCCUUCGACGAGUCGAGUUGUUUGGGAAUGCAGCUCUAAAUGGGUGGUAAAUUUCAUCUAAAGCUAAAUACUGGCCGGAGACCGAUAGCGCACAAGUAGAGUGAUCGAAAGAUGAAAAGCACUUUGAAAAGAGAGUUAAACAGCACGUGAAAUUGUUGAAAGGGAAGGCGCUUGCGACCAGACUCGCUUCCGGGGUUCAGCCGGCUUUCGGGCCGGUGUACUUCCCCGGGGGCGGGCCAGCGUCGGUUUGGGCGGCCGGUCAAAGGCCCCUGGAAUGUAACGCUCUCGGGGCGCCUUAUAGCCAGGGGUGUCAUGCGGCCAGCCUGGACCGA
rnacentral:rRNA from 1 species